GACGAACGCUGGCGGCGUGCUUAACACAUGCAAGUCGAACGAAAAGGCCCUGCUUUUGUGGGGUGCUCGAGUGGCGAACGGGUGAGUAACACGUGUGUAUCCUGCCCUUGACUUUGGGAUAACUUCAGGAAACUGGGGCUAAUACCGGAUAGGAGCUCCUGCAGCAUGGUGGGGGUUGGAAAGUUUCGGCGGUUGGGGAUGGACUCGCGGCUUAUCAGCUUGUUGGUGGGGUAGGGGCUUACCAAGGCUUUGACGGGUAGCCGGCCUGAGAGGGUGGCCGGCCACAUUGGGCCUGAGGGACGGAGCAGUCUCGUACGGGAGGCAGCAGUGGGAAGUAUUGCACAAUGAGCGGAAGCCUGAUGCAGAAGCGCCGCGUGCGGGAUGACGUCUUUCGGGUUAUGAACCGCUUUCGCCUGUGACGAAGCGUGAGUGACGGUAAUGGGUAAAGAAGCACCGGCUAACUACGUG
rnacentral:rRNA from 1 species